ensembl:lncRNA
UUCACAUAUGCGAAUGUGCAACCAAGCCAAGGCUGAGCAACCAAGCAACCUGAGUUGUACUAAUUCACUGAUCAGCAGGGGCUUUCAGUAGCCAGACCUGUUGAGCCACCAUAAUACUUGGAUUCAGACAUGAAGAAAUGUGGAUAUUUUAGACCCUGCGUUUGUACUGAAGUGUCUCUUAAGUUCUUAAUCAGGAUUUGGAUGUCCUUUGUGUUUUUCUGGCCUGUUCAAACACUUACCAAAACUAAAUUCAUUCACUGAUGAUAAUUUGCUUUGAAACCUCCAAAAGCAAAACAAGGUGUAUGGAAUUGUGCAAAUGUAAAAACAUCAGGACAUGUGGCAACGCUUUUUGUGCCAUCUUUUAUCCAAGUGUUUCAGAAUGAUUUACAAGCAUUAAUUAAUGAUCACUUCAGCGGUGUUAUACCUUCUACCCAUCCAGUAAAUAUUACCAAAACAGGGAUCUUUCUUACCAGAGCACUGCUAGGAGUAGCGGAUUUUGUCUGUGCCUUUGCUAUUUCCACGCUUACCACUGAAUCAAUAUUGUUUACGCAGAAACAGCGUUAUAGUGUCCUGACAAUGUUGCAAUGUGUGGGAAAUGGCACUAGUUUUUGAAGAUUAUGUCUUUCCUAUUUAGAGAGUACACGUAUAUACGUGUGUGUGUAUAAAUAAUAAAGUGGUAUUAACAUUUUCA